AACAUGACUCUCGGCAAUGGAUAUCUUGGCUCUUGCAUCGAUGAAGAGCGCAGCGAAAUGCGAUACGUGGUGCGAAUUGCAGAAUCCCGCGAAC
rnacentral:rRNA from 7 species